rnacentral:rRNA from 1 species
ACCUACGGGGCGCAGCAGUGGGGAAUAUUGCACAAUGGGGGAAACCCUGAUGCAGCGACGCCGCGUGAGUGAAGAAGUAUCUCGGUACGUAAAGCUCUAUCAGCAGGGAAGAAAAAAAGUCUUUGGCUUUGGACGGUACCUGACUAAGAAGCCCCGGCUAACUACGUGCCAGCAGCCGCGGUAAUACGUAGGGGGCAAGCGUUAUCCGGAUUUACUGGGUGUAAAGGGAGCGUAGACGGCUGUGCAAGUCUGAAGUGAAAUGCCGGGGCUCAACCCCGGAACUGCUUUGGAAACUGUACAGCUAG